rnacentral:misc_RNA from 1 species
CCGAGUUUACAACUCCCAAACCCCUGUGAACAUACACUUGUUGCCUCGGCGGAUCAGCCCGCUCCCGGUAAAACGGGACGGCCGCCAGAGGACCCCUAAACUCUGUUUUCUAUAUGUAACUACUUCUGAGUAAAACCAUAAAUAAAU